rnacentral:rRNA from 1 species
GACGAACGCUGGCGGCGUGCUUAACACAUGCAAGUCGAACGGAAAGGCCCUGCUUUUGUGGGGUGCUCGAGUGGCGAACGGGUGAGUAUCACGUGAGUAACCUGCCCUUGACUUUGGGAUAACUUCAGGAAACUGGGGCUAAUACCGGAUAGGAGCUCCUGCUGCAUGGUGGGGGUUGGAAAGUUUCGGCGGUUCGGGAUGGACUCGCGGCUUAUCAGCUUGUUGGUGGGGUAGUGGCUUACCAAGGCUUUGACGGGUAGCCGGCCUGAGAGGGUGACCGGCCACAUUGGGACUGAGAUACGGCCCAGACUCCUACGGGAGGCAGCAGUGGGGAAUAUUGCACAAUGGGCGGAAGCCUGAUGCAGCAACGCCGCGUGCGGGAUGACGGCCUUCGGGUUGUAAACCGCUUUCGCCUGUGACGAAGCGUGAGUGACGGUAAUGGGUAAAGAAGCACCGGCUAACUACGUG